rnacentral:tRNA from 1 species
AAUAAAGUGCCUGAUAAAAAGGACCACCUUGAUAUAGUGUUUAUGUAUUUUACCUUUAUUU